UGGGGAAUAUUGCACAAUGGGCGCAAGCCUGAUGCAGCCAUGCCGCGUGUGUGAAGAAGGCCUUCGGGUUGUAAAGCACUUUCAGCGAGGAGGAAGGUGGUGAACUUAAUACGUUCAUCAAUUGACGUUACUCGCAGAAGAAGCACCGGCUAACUCCGUGCCAGCAGCCGCGGUAAUACGGAGGGUGCAAGCGUUAAUCGGAAUUACUGGGCGUAAAGCGCACGCAGGCGGUUUGUUAAGUCAGAUGUGAAAUCCCCGGGCUCAACCUGGGAACUGCAUUUGAAACUGGCAAGCUAGAGUCUCGUAGAGGGGGGUAGAAUUCCAGGUGUAGCGGUGAAAUGCGUAGAGAUCUGGAGGAAUACCGGUGGCGAAGGCGGCCCCCUGGACGAAGACUGACGCUCAGGUGCGAAAGCGUGGGGCAGCAAACAGGAUUAGAUACCCUGGUAGUCCACGCUGUAAACGAUGUCGAUUUGGAGGUUGUGCCCUUGAGGCGUGGCUUCCGGAGCUAACGCGUUAAAUCGACCGCCUGGGGAGUACGGCCGCAAGGUUAAAACUCAAAUGAAUU
rnacentral:rRNA from 1 species